UAAGUGCUGUGACAGUAAAGAUAAUUGAAAUAAUUAUUACUUAGACUCCAGGGAACCUAUCCGAUUCAAGCCCUGGGCUUAGAAAGAAAAGGUUGAAAAAGAAUUGAUAUCCUGGUCCCUUGAUAUGGAUGUUGAGCAUGUUGACUCUGGCUGAAACGCCCCCCCCCCCAACACUGCCCCAGUGGAGAGGAUAAGGUGAUGGGCAUCUCUAAAGGUAGGAUUGGAGCCCCCCCAGACCCUAUCAGGGCAGUUUAUGGAGUAUUUGGAUAAGCAUUUAUUGAGCUUUUAUUACAUUAUAGAUACCUGCUAAGCCCCAGAUAGCUCCUGCCUUCAAGGAGUCUUCAGUCCUGUGAUUAUUCCCAAAACUUAGACUUUUAUCCAAGUCUUACCAGAAUUGGUUCUGAAACCCAGGGUACUUAGUCCCAUAUGAGGCCAAGGUGAACAGCCACAACAGAGGUAAUCGCUGUCAUUUAGUGUGUGCUGUCUGCUCAUCAACACUGUCCCAGACACUCUGCAUUGUCGUUUUGGGAGCUGUUGGGGUCCCUAUUCAGCAGACCAAAAAAACUGAUGCACAGAAGAUUGAAGUGACUUUUGAACCAGGUCACCCAGUCUGAGAAGUGAUGGAGUGAGGAUUUGAGCCCCAGCUUUCUCCAAAGCCCAUGGUCUGAGACACCAGCUGGGUUUGUUGCUGUAACUCUGUGUAUGUAUUACAUGAGACUGGGAAGAACAGUCACCAUUAUCUAAUGUCAGGGAGCUAACUGGAGGGUCUGUACUGCACUGCCCCUACAGAAUUGUUCAGCUAGCAUACCCUUUUCUAGAGUUCUAGCCACAGGAAAGGAGAUAUGUGCAAAAUUGUGUUAAGGGCAGUGAAGGAAAAAUAUAAAAUGCAAGGAGAGGCUCUAAGUUGGACCAUGGGAUAACAGUGACAUUUGAGUGGUAACAAGAUGGAGAAGUGAGGGUGCCUAGGUGAAAGCAGAGGAAGAGCAAGCAGGCAGAUGGAAAAGCAUAUGCUAAGCUCUGAGGCACAGAAGAGUUUAGCAUUACCUAAGAACUGAACAAAGACCACAAGUAGGAUCGCAGAGCUCUGAAGAGAGUUCUGUAGCCUGGACACAGCAAGGGACAGAUCCAUAGGGCCUUGGAGCCACCUUAAGGAUUUGGAAUUAGCAUCUCAAGAAGUGCAGUGAGAGGCCAUUAAAGGAUUUUAAGCACAGAAGUGAUGAGAUCAUAGUUACAUUUAAAAAAAAAUGUCAGCUGACUAGAAGAAUGGGUCGGAUGACAGCAGAGCUGGAACCAGGGAGUCCCGCCAGUGACCAGGGACUCUUGCAGAAAUCCAGGUGAGGACAGGUGAUCACCAGAACUGGGUGGUGGCCCCUGAGCUGAAAGGGGACAGGUCUGUCUGCUGGUAGGAUUCGCAGGGUGUGGGAUGGGUUGGAUGUGGCCAGGAGAGGGAGAACCGAGGGUGAGUCAGGAUUCCUGGUCUGAGCUGCUACAGACUGGGCCAGCCUGUGCUCGGGAGGAACCUGGAUGGGGGGAGUGGGAGGCAGAGGCUUGAUAGGAAUGAAGAGGUCAGUGUGUAACACGUUAUAUUUGAGGCCCUUUGAAACAUUGAAGAAAGCAGUUAGAUAUCUGAGUAUGAAGGUCUCAUGUGGGAUGUGCACCGAACAGUAAAAUUGAGGAGUCGUCCAAAUAUGUGUCAAGGAUGCCACACGGGUGGUGCACUGGCUUGACCACCAAGAGUUCCUGCCUUUUACUCACAACAGGUUUUGUUGUACGUCAAAUAAGAGAGCACGAGGGGCAAACUCCAAGUGCCCUGGGUGUGCUUCCUUCACUGAGCCGCCUGUCAGCUUUUGUGCAUCUCCUGAGUGUCUUCAGGUGUUUUGUUCAAAUGAACAUCAGAAGAGACCUUGGGAGGGACAAGAAGCUGUGCUGAGGAGAGCGAUCACAAAACGGUGCCACCCUGCCAUGCCCUCCAACCACAGCAUCACCUCUGUCGAUGCCCUGGUGAACUGUCACAGAGUGACUCAAAGCACAACAUUUACAGUCAAAAAAUCUGAGUUGUUAUCCCAGCUCUGUCCCUCGCUAUCUAUUUAACUUUAGGCAAAUGACAUAUCCUUUCUGAAAGCAAGUUUUCUGUGCUGUAAAAUCAGAACAAAGAUACCUCGGUCACAGGGUUGCUAUGCGGAUUAGAAGAGAUUUUUGCCAAGUGAUUAUUAGCACAGAUCUGAAUAAAAGAUAGGAAGUGGAUCCAUAUCUAAGAAGACAUUCUUGCCAGAGAUUAGCAUAAGGCUGAAAUAUGUAUUUCAUAAGCCUAUUCCAUUAAGUCAAACACUGAAUUUUUGUUAAAAUUCUGCAAUCAUCCCAAGGCAGAGAGAUGAGAGAGGCCAUUGUGUAGAAUAUAUGGCUUUAUCACUUCCAUUAAAUUGCUUUUGACAGAGGCCAGUUUGUCAACCAGAAUCACACUCAAAAGUGUACCAGUAUCUUAAGACAGUUUUUCAUUGUCUGUGAACAAGUCUAGAGGAUGGUAUGGAAGCUUCUAUAUAUAGCUAUGCACUUGAGUUCUUUUGAUGACUUCAUUUAAUCAGACUAUUUAUCUUAUUGAAGACUCAUUGCUAAUAUUAUAGAUGGGUUCUUUAUGAGUACAUAAGGAGGACAUUGUAUAGGAUGCCUCUGUUUUUGUGGGAUUAGAAGAAUCCCUACCUACCACUACUGGCAGGUCGUCCCAUGAUACCCUUGUUAUACCAUUGCUUCAAUCAUUAAUAGUUCUUUGCGUUUUAGUGUUCUGAGAAAAUCGUCAUGGUCAUUACCCAAGUCAGCAGCUGUACUUACUGUGCCAGCACUGCUAGGACUGAGAAUGAAGAAGACAGGCUCUUCCUUGUUAUUCCCUAGUAUUCUUGACCCUACAACUAAAGAAGAGUACAAGGGUAUUUGUGAUAUAAUGCUCUUUGGAAUCCUACAUAAUUAAGUGCUCUAGAAUAGCCCUGUCCAAUAGAACUUCCUGAAAUGGAAAUGCUCUAGACCUGUACUGUUGAGUACAAUAGCCACCAGCCACAUGUGGCUAUUGAGUACUUGAAGUGUGGCUAGUAUGACUAAGAAACUGAAUUUAUAACUUAACUUUAAUUGACCUAAAUUGAAGUAGCCAUAUGUGGCUCCCAGCUACCAUGUUGAGUACCACAGAUCCAGCAAUUGUGAGGAAGGGUGGGUGUGGGCUCCAAAAAUUCAGGAAGGAAAUAGGGCUUCAGGUGGAGCUUAGAAUAAAGGGGAAAGUGAAGGAUGCUCCAUCUAGGGUAACAGCGUGAGCAAAGGCUGCAGGAAGGGGGAAAGCAUGUGGUUUGCGAACAUUACACAGAGAAGAGAAUUGAAGGAAAUUCACUGAGAGACUUUCUGAAAAUCAAGGAAGAAGUUUCUAGAAUCUAGACCAUUCUUCUAUUUUAUUAAGUUUCGUAACUGGACCAAAAGCAAAGAUGUCUCCGAAAUAUGUCUUAGGAAAACAACCACUUCACUCAAUCCUUUUCUUGCAAACUGCCCCACCACUACAUUACAUGAAAUCAAAGUCUCAAGAUUCAAGAAAAUAGAAGAUGCACAUUUUAAAACAGUGACCAUUUUUCUGAUUAUAUGAAAGCAUACAUUUAUUGAAGAGAAUCUUGUAAUUAAGAAGAGUACAGAAAGAAAAAUCCAUCUUCGAUAUCAGCCUUUAGCCAGAGGUAAUCUCUUACAUAUUUAUGUAAUUUAUAGUUUUUUUUAAUUUAUUGCCAUGCCAUUUUUAUACAGGUGGCUACUUAAUAUUUCAAUCAUAUGUUUAUGCCAUCAUUUAUUCAAACAAUCCAGACAAAUAUCGCUUGUGAUUUUCUUAUAAUAUUUAAAUAGCAACAUAAUGAACAUCCCUGUACCUAAUCUUGUACCCAUUCCUUUUACUAUUUCUAGGGUACAUGUUUUGCAAGGUAAUCCCUUGGUAGAAGCAUCAACAAUUGAGUUCAAUACUAUAAGAAAGAGCUAAAAUGGUUAAAAGUGAUUAUGUCUGGCAAGAAGUUUAUGAGGAUGGGCAGAAAUGGGCAGAUGAAUACCGUUUUCCAUUAUAAGUACUACAUUUUAUUUUUUCUGCUUAUGACUAAAAGUAAACAUUGUAUAGAAAUAAUUUUUCCCAAGUAAAACAAAAUUAUGCCCAUUUUGAAGAGUUCAUACAAUAUCCCCAUAUGGGCAAGCUGCCCUUCUGAGAAUUUAUAACAAUUUACCCUCCCAUCAGAAAUGUGAAACCAUUCCUUACCUACAAAAGGCUCUAUAAACUAGGUAUUUCUUUUUCCUUUUAAACAUCUUCCAAUUAGGUUUAAAAUGACAUGCAAUUUAAAUUUGCAUUUAUUUUACUGAUAAGAUUGAAUUGUUUUCCUGUCUGCUUGGCCAUUUAUUUUUCUCCUUUUGGCUUUAAAAUGAACAUACCAAAGCUCAUACAUUCGAUGUAUGCUGUCCUGGUGAAAUUAGUGACUUCAGAAGAUGAUGUCCUUGUACCAGUGAUAUGGCCACGGCUUAAACAUUUGGAUAACUCUUUCUGAAUGACCAUCAGAGUCUGAGUGACAUUCUUUUGGAUAUUCUUAGGAUCGGUUACAUCAUCAGGUUUUCUUCUGCGCUUCUAAAUCAUCCAUGAAAACAACUGUCCCUGGAGCCAUGAGAACAUGAACAGAAUAAAGGCCCUUGUAAAGCA